AGCAUACAGAUUUGUAUGGAGUUCGAACGUUUGCUUACGUUUGCUGCUAGGGGCGCUAUUCCAACUGCAUACAGAUUCGAGUUA
rfam:Bombyx mori DNA, contig: Bm_scaf1324_contig45715, strain: p50T/Dazao, build 2, whole genome shotgun sequence.